AUUGAACGCUGGCGGCAGGCCUAACACAUGCAAGUCGGACGGUAGCACAGAGGAGCUUGCUCCUCGGGUGACGAGUGGCGGACGGGUGAAUAAUGUCUGGGGAUCUGCCCGAUAGAGGGGGAUAACCACUGGAAACGGUGGCUAAUACCGCAUAACGUCGCAAGACCAAAGAGGGGGACCUUCGGGCCUCUCACUAUCGGAUGAACCCAGAUGGGAUUAGCUAGUAGGCGGGGUAAUGGCCCACCUAGGCGACGAUCCCUAGCUGGUCGGAGAGGAUGACCAGCCACACUGGAACUGAGACACGGUCCAGACUCCUACGGGAGGCAGCAGUGGGGAAUAUUGCACAAUGGGCGCAAGCCUGAUGCAGCCAUGCCGCGUGCGGGAAGAAGGCCUUCGGGUUGUAAACCGCUUUUGUCGGGGAAGAAACGGUGGGAGUUAAUACCUUCUGCUAAUGACGGUACCCGAAGAAUAAGCACCGGCUAACUACGUGCCAGCCGCCGCCGUAAGAC
rnacentral:rRNA from 1 species